GGAGACAGAGGAGCUGCACCACGACAGGGUGACCCUGGAGGUGGGCAAAGUGAUCCAGCGGGGCCGGCAGAGCAAAGGCCUGACGCAGAAGGACCUGGCCACGGUGAGGCUUCGGCAGCUCUGGUGCGGGCACAAGUGACAGGUGCCUAGACAGCAUAGGGAAGGUGGGCUCACUGCAUGGUGGCUUUGGGACCUUACCCUAACACUCCCCAAAUCCUCUGGGAAAGCCAGGUCAGAGAAGCUCUCUCUUGCACAAGACCUGUGUGUAUGGGGCUACCGGAGACCCCAGGCGGCUGCCUGUGGGCACCUCCCCUGGCUGGGCAGCUCCCCUGGCUGGGCAGCUCCCCUGCCUGUGGGCACCUCCCCUGGCUGGGCAGCCCCCCUGGCUGGGCAGCUCCCCCGGCUGGGCAGCUCCCCUGGCUGGGCAGCUCCCCUGGCUCUGCAGCACAUCUCACUUGGUUGGCGUGGCUAAGGUGCGUCUUUUCUUCAGAAAAUCAAUGAAAAGCCGCAAGUCAUCGCAGACUAUGAAAGUGGACGGGCCAUUCCGAAUAACCAGGUUUUGGGCAAAAUUGAGAGAGCCAUCGGUGAGUGUCUUCCCCAGCAGCUUUGGGCAAGGCAGUGCCCUUCCUUCCAUAAGGGGUGGUAAGGGCUGAGCUGGCAGGCCCUCGUCCCCUCGAGGCGGCCCUCAUCCCCUCCAGGCCAUACCACCUGAGUCCCUCCUGAGGGGUUGAGGAUUGGCGGGACUCCAGAAGCCUAAGGACAUGGUGUCUUGGGUUCUGUAGCUAGUGUCCUGCCACAGCACACUGCUCAGGAUACCUGGGGGCACAUGCUUGCUUCUACAUGCACCUCCAUGGAGGUCUAAUGCAGUAUUCCAGUCCUUCUGGGGCAAGAUGUUUGUCUUCUCGUCUUUCUAGAUUUACUAUUGUUAUUAUAUUUAUUAACUUUUUUCUGGCUGUCUUGGAACUAUGUAGACAGGCUGAUCUUGAGCUCACGGAGAUCUGCCUGCCUCUGUGUCCUAUGUGCUGGGAUUAAAGGCGUGUGCCACCACGUCUGGCUUAGAUUUUAUUUUCUAUAUAGACUCACUGUAGCUCAGGCUGGCUUCAGACUCACAUCAGUCUUCCUACCUCAGUCUGCUGAGCUCUAGGAUUGCUGGUAUGAAGCACCACGCCCAGCCUGGCCCUCAACCCUUUCUGAUAGGCUUGGCCCACACUGAUGUCAGAUGUGAAAGCAGCCUUCUGUGUAUGUGGAGGCCCCGUGAGGCGAGUGGACAGGAGUGACGGAAAGCUCGAGUAGACCGGGGAGGUUGGGUGGGCGCAGGAAGUGGCAGAGUGGUCAGCAUCUUGCUGGCUCGUUUCAGGCCUCAAGCUCCGGGGGAAGGACAUCGGGAAGCCUAUCGAGAAGGGGCCGAAGGCGAAAUGAACACAAAGCCUCGAAGCCAGUGGUUCCGGCUGAGCUCUUCUGGCUGGUCCCCCAGGACCACCAGCACUGCCGUGGGUCUCCUCACAUGGUCAAACGGAACAUGGGGGUCAGGCCUGUGUGCCCCCUCAACCCAUAACUGCUGUCAAACAAAGCAAAACCUUGGAAA
rnacentral:lncRNA from 1 species